AACGAACGCUGGCGGCAUGCCUAACACAUGCAAGUCGAACGAGACCUUCGGGUCUAGUGGCGCACGGGUGCGUAACGCGUGGGAACCUGCCCUUAGGUUCGGAAUAACUCCCCGAAAGGGGUGCUAAUACCGGAUAAUGUCUUCGGACCAAAGAUUUAUCGCCUUUGGAUGGGCCCGCGUUGGAUUAGCUAGUUGGUAGGGUAAAAGCCUACCAAGGCGACGAUCCAUAGCUGGUCUGAGAGGAUGAUCAGCCACACUGGGACUGAGACACGGCCCAGACUCCUACGGGAGGCAGCAGUGGGGAAUAUUGGACAAUGGGCGAAAGCCUGUUCCAGCAAUGCCGCGUGGGUGAUGAAGGCCUUAGGGUUGUAAAGCUCUUUUACCCGGGAUGAUAAUGACAGUACCGGGAGAAUAAGCUCCGGCUAACUCCGU
rnacentral:rRNA from 1 species